CUUUCCCACAGCAUGAACCGCAACCCCCAACCUGUUCCAGUUCUGCCUCACACCAGGGGCCUUGCUCACAACAGAACGGAAGGACCAUGCACUGAGCUGGAGGGUCCAAGCCUAGAGGGGCAGAAACAUGCACCCAGGUGCUGAGCUAAGUAAGCAUUUUUACAUCAUCUAAUCCUCAGGAUAAGUCUACAAGGUAGGUGUUAGUAGUGGCAUUGAUCCACAAGGGGUGCUGAGGCUCAGAGAGGAGAAACAAUUUGCUCAAGUUCAUACACAUUAAAAUCGUGCGGUAGGUAGCACUUGAGCCCAUGCCCAUGGGACAGCAGAGCUGAGUCCUUCCUCAAAGUCAGUGGCCAAACCUAGUACCUACCUUGGUCUACAACUCAUCUCUUAUCCUUUGAAGCUCCCUUGUAAACCCCCUCGCCCCCCCAGGCUGAACUACUCACCCUUCCCUGAAUAUUCCAGACCAGUUUACCUCCCGCUUGUUCCACAGGUAGCAUCCUCUGCAAGAAAUGGC